UCUACGGGUGGCAGCAGUGAGGAAUAUUGGUCAAUGGCCGUAAGGCUGAACCAGCCAAGUAGCGUGAGGGAAGACUGCCCUAUGAGUUGUAAACCUCUUUUAUGCAGGGAUAAAGGUGUCCACGUGUGGAUAUUUGCAGGUACCGCAUGAAUAAGGACCGGCUAAUUCCGUGCCAGCAGCCGCGGUAAUACGGAAGGUCCGGGCGUUAUCCGGAUUUAUUGGGUUUAAAGGGAGCGUAGGCCGGUCUUUAAGCGUGCCGUGAAAUUUUGUGGCUUAACCAUGAGAGUGCGUCGAGAACUGGAGACCUAGAGAGCGCGGAAGGCAGGCGGAAUGCGUGGUGUAGCGGUGAAAUGCUUAGAGAUCACGAAGAACCCCGAUUGCGAAGGCAGCCUGC
rnacentral:rRNA from 1 species